AACUUAGGCCAUUCUCGGUAACGCUUACACCUGAAUUUGUGCGUAAGAGGAUAGCCCUUUCCCAGGCCCCGUUUUCCGCGUUUUUUUAAUUAUUUAUUUCCGUGUAAACUGCAGUCUUGAUAUAAAAACAUUGAUGGUCGAUAAUUUAGCCCUGCGUUAAAGAGCCCCGGGGAGAACUGCCAAGGAUUAUAAAGUCGUCUCCUCCGUUUUUAACCCAGCGACAUGGCUCGACCACGGCCGCGCGAAUACAAGGCAGGAGAUUUGGUUUUCGCUAAGAUGAAGGGAUACCCGCACUGGCCGGCGAGGAUUGAUGAGCUUCCAGAAGGAGCUGUCAAACCGCCUGCCAACAAGUACCCCAUCUUCUUUUUUGGGACCCAUGAAACUGCAUUCUUGGGCCCGAAGGAUCUUCUGCCUUACAAGGAGUAUAAAGACAAAUUUGGCAAGUCCAACAAGAGGAAAGGCUUCAAUGAGGGCCUGUGGGAGAUCGAGAACAACCCCGGAGUCAAGUUUACAGGCUAUCAGGCCAUCCAGCAACAGAGUUCGUCAGAAACAGAAGAGGGAGGAAACGCUGCCGAUGGCAGCAGUGAGGGCGACUCUGUUGAGGAGGAAGAUGACAAGGAAAAGCUGAAGGGAGACAAGACCGGAUCCAAACGGAAAAAGACAGCCACCUCCAAGAAAUCCUCCAAGCUGUCGAGGAUCUCAUCUGGGGAGGAUGACCUGGAGAAGGACGGGAAAGAUGACGACCAGAAGAGCGGCUUAGAGGGAGGAGACCCCGACAACGACAUCAUCCAAAAUACCACCGACAGUAAGAAGCAGCUGCUCAUAGAAGAACAUUAGGCGAAGAAAAGAAAGCAUGAAAGGGAAAUGGUUCUUUGUAGCUGUGAUGGUGGAAAGGUGAACCUACGACACGAUUUCUCAUCAGCACCAUCUUCUGGCUGCCAUCUUCACCUCCGCUUCGCUGUUGGACUUCAAAACUAUCAACUGCAUCUCACAGUCCUCAUCAGCAAUCGGGAGUUGUUGGCUAAAUUGUACCGAAUAUAAAGGAACACAUUAAUAGGAAUCGUUAAUUGUAUGAUUUCAUACAGAAGGGAAAACAAUAUGCACUCGCUGCCAAGUCACAAUGCAAAAUCACAAUUUGACAAUAAGAGGUAAGCUACCUAAGUCCGAUGAAGAGGUAAUAUUUCAGCAUGCUAAAUACUACCAUUUGAAUGUGUUUGGGCUUGAGAAUGAGCAGAACUGUAUUUUCUGUUGGGUAAGCAGUUGAACAUACAAGUGGGUAUUAGGGUAACAGAGAGAGAUCCGAGAUUUACAUGUUUGUACUGUGUUAGUAACACAGCUUCUUCAGGUUUAGGCUGACACUAUGGUUAAUGAAUUCAAAAUAAAUAA